rnacentral:lncRNA from 1 species
AUGGAAGGACGGAUUGUAUUACUGUACAAAAAAAAUAUAACCAGAUGCACAGCACAUCAAAACCAGAUCCCUGGGGAAUGGAAAACGUUUGCGGCUGAAGCAGUAAACUACUCGCAGAGGAACAUUGUUUUGGUAGUUUUGGUUCCACUAUUCUGCACGGAUGAAUCUGUCACCACUGCUAAUGUUUCCAGACACCAAAACUCUCCAAAAUAAUCAAAGAAGGAAGAAAAUGAAAGAUUCUGAAAAUUGUUUGAUGAGCUGGAAUGAACAUCUGUGCCAUCUAGAAGAAACAUUUGAGACAUUGUUGACUUUUAAAUGGGCUCUCCAUUAUGUCACCUGAGCUACAAAACAAAGCUCUUGUCAUGAUUACAAGGGAAUACUGACAUUUACACCAGGUACGCACUAACACACCCUAAUGCUGAGGAUGCUGGAAAAUGUUCUCAUUCUGCAUGAACAAAGUGGUGUUCUUUACAGAGUUCUGGGCUUUCCGCCCAUGUUUUUGAUCCACUUGGAUUUAAGGCAUUCUGACAACAUGGAACAUUUGUGAGAUUACUGUAGGGAGUGAUUCUGUUCCGGCUGGCGGAAGGAUUCAAGUUCAGCUGGUUCCCCUUCAAGUCAGGCAUUAUUACAGACAUCCUGCGGAGGAAGAAGGGCUUUCUAGAACGGACCGUUUCCAGGUUCUCAUGCAGUCACAACAGAGAGCUCACAAACUCCAUUUCACUUAGAGAGCCAUGUGAUGUCAAAUAAAUGUACUGGAUUUAAUAAAUGUUCACUUUUAAUUGCAUCUUUCCCAAAGGCCAAGCAUAACUUCAUUCAAGUGUCCUCUAAAAGGCUUUAAAGUGUACAGUGAAAUGCCAUCAGAGCAGAAAUGACCUUUUAAGGCUUUCUAGGUCUUGGUUAAUGCCUCUUUCUUGUUGGUCUGGCAAAUAAGCCUCAUUUUUCGCUGUUUAGUCACCUAGACUGUUUGAAAAAUCUGCCAGACAUCUGGAAUUGGUCACUAUACAUGUCAGCUUGGCUAAGUCACAUCUUGAAGGUGGUCAUCUAAGUCAAUUUGGGUCAUGCAUACCUGUCACAGCUGAUAAAUGAAGAUUAUAAGACCUAAUCAUAUCAGGCCAGUUGGUGCACAAGGACUUAAGUUACCUGCUGGGAGAAGCUGCUGUUACUGAACAUGAAGUCUCAUGAGGCUGUAUAUUAAAGUGAUAUUUACAAUGGUACAGUCAUAAAAUCACUGUAACCCACAGAUUAGUUUUUUUAUGCACUUCCGUUAAAAAUGUUUAGGCUCAGUUACUUCUUUGUGUGUGUGUUUUUUGGAAAGAAGUAUGCUCACCAAGGCUGCAUUUAUUUGAUCAAAAGUAAAAACAAAAAAAGAACAGUUUCUAUUUGAAAAUGUAAUUUAUUUUUGCGAUUCAAUGUAGUGUGUAUUUAUUUUAUUUAUUUACAUAUCUUAGAAGUAUUCAAUCUAAUUGCUUACUUAAAAAAUAUUUAGAUAUCAGACUGACUUUUGGUUUUCGAGUUUGAAUUAU